UACAGAGGGUGCAAGCGUUAAUCGGAAUUACUGGGCGUAAAGCGUGCGCAGGCGGCUUUGCAAGACAGAUGUGAAAUCCCCCGGGCUUAACCUGGGAACUGCAUUUGUGACUGCAUGGGCUGGAGUGCGGCAGAGGGGGAUGGAAUUCCGCGUGUAGCAGUGAAAUGCGUAGAUAUGCGGAGGAACACCGAUGGCGAAGGCAAUCCCCUGGGCCUGCACUGACGCUCAUGCACGAAAGCGUGGGGAGCAAACGGG
rnacentral:rRNA from 1 species